rnacentral:lncRNA from 1 species
GGGGCCCGCCACGUUUCAUAAUCGUGGGAUGGUUGAGUUGCACGUGGUUUUUGGCCUAAAUGAACAGUGGAACACAAUAAACAAUAUUAUGAUAUAGCCGUUGAAUGGUUGCGAGUUGCACGUGGAUGCAGAUGAACAGGGGAAAACUAUAAACAAUUUUAUGAUACGAUAAUAUAGUUAUAAUAUUCCAAUUCUUUUUCGAAGCAUUGC